UGCCAAGUGCUAGUUAGAGAUUGAGGAC
rnacentral:piRNA from 1 species